rnacentral:rRNA from 1 species
UACGGAGGGUGCAAGCGUUAUCCGGAAUUACUGGGUUUAAAGGGUGCGUAGGCGGAAUUAUAAGUCAGAGGUGAAAGCUCGCAGCUCAACUGCGGAAUUGCCUUUGAUACUGUAAAUCUUGAAUUAGGUUGAGGUUAGCGGAAUGUGACAUGUAGCGGUGAAAUGCAUAGAUAUGUCAUAGAACACCAAUUGCGAAGGCAGCUAGCUAGGCCUAUAUUGACGCUGAGGCACGAAAGCGUGGGGAGCGAACAGG